rnacentral:rRNA from 1 species
UACGGAAGGUGCAAGCGUUAAUCGGAAUUACUGGGCGUAAAGCGCGCGUAGGCUGUUAUCUAAGUCGAAUGUGAAAUCCUCGGGCUCAACCUGGGAACUGCAUCCGAAACUGGAUAACUAGAGUAUGGGAGAGGUAAGUAGAAUUUCCGGUGUAGCGGUGAAAUGCGUAGAUAUCGGAAGGAAUACCAGUGGCGAAGGCGGCUUACUGGACCAAUACUGACGCUAAGGUGCGAAAGCGUGGGGAGCGAAC